UGGGGAAUAUUGGGCAAUGGGCGCAAGCCUGACCCAGCCACGCCGCGUGAGUGAUGAAGGCCUUCGGGUCGUAAGCUCUGUGGGGAGGGACGGAAAACCCUAGAGGUUAAUACCCUCAGGCUUGACGGUACCUCCUUAGCAAGCACCGGCUAACUCCGUGCCAGCAGCCGCGGUAAUACGGGGGGUGGCAAACGUUGCUCGGAAUUAUUGGGCGUAAAGCGCACGUAGGCGGUCCCUUAAGUCGGGUGUGAAAGCCCUCGGCUUAACCGAGGAAGUGCAUUCGAUACUGGGGGGACUUGAGUACUGGAGAGGAUGGCGGAAUUCCCGGUGUAGAGGUGAAAUUCGUAGAUAUCGGGGAGGAACACCAGCGGCGAAGGCGGCCAUUCUGGACAGAUACUGACGCUGAGGUGCGAAAGCGUGGGGAGGCAAACAGGAUUAGAUACCCUGGUAGUCCACGCCGUAAACGAUGAGCGCUAGGUGGUCGCGGGUAUUGACCCCUGCGGUGCCGCAGCCAACGC
rnacentral:rRNA from 1 species